rnacentral:lncRNA from 1 species
AUAGUUACAAAUUUUACUUGCUUGAGUAUUGGGGAGAUGUGAUAAGGCAGGAUAUGGCGCGACAUAGGAUUAGUGAGGACAUGGCCCUUGACAUGAGAUUGUGGAGGUCGAGCAUUAAAGUUGUAGGUUAGGGAGAAGUUGAGAUAUUUCUACAACGCACUAGAGUAAGACUAGACAGUUAGGAGAUAGGCCUAGGAUGCUACUGAUCAGCUACAGAUGCAGGGCCUUAUAUCC